AUGAACGUUUGCGGCGUGCCUUAUGCAUGCAAGUCGAACGGUCUGACAUUUCGCAAGAACGGUCAGACAGUGGCGAACGGCUGAGUAAUACGUAAGUGACCUGCCUCUAAGUGUAGAAUAGCCCGCCGAAAGGUGGGGUAAUACUGCAUGUGGUAGCGAAGGUAGUGCUUCGCUACUAAAGCCUUCGGGCGCUUGGAGAGGGGCUUGCGUCCGAUUAGCUAGUUGGUAGGGUAAUGGCCUACCAAGGCGACGAUCGGUAGCUGGUUUGAGAGGACGACCAGCCAGACGGGGACUGAGACACGGCCCCGACUCCUACGGGAGGCAGCAGCAAGGAAUCUUGCGCAAUGGGCGAAAGCCUGACGCAGCGACGCCGCGUGAGGGAUGAAGGCCUUCGGGUUGUAAACCUCUUUUCUCGAGGAAGAUAAUGACGGUACUCGAGGAAUAAGUCUCGGCUAACUACGU
rnacentral:rRNA from 1 species